AAGAAGGCUUGGGAGAUCUAAAGGAAUCAGCAGAACUGUGGAUAAAAAGGAAUUUGAAGUUGGAGAGUUGCUUUGGAGACUUCAGUGAUUAAAAGUUUCCAGAUGUGGCUGAAGGCAAACAGUAAUUGCCCGGUUUAAUGGAAGAUGGUUAAGCCUGUGUUGGACAUCUGCUGUCUUUGCCGCCCUAGUCUGCAUUUCCCAGUAUUCUGCCAGCAGAAACCGCUGAAGCUCAUGAUGUGAGGCAAAUCCUCUCCGACUGCAAUUCCUCCCUAACUACAUUCCCCUGGACGCUUUCCUUUACCUGGCACACCACUGAAAAAAAGAAGAGGAACCCAUGUUUCAAACCAACGGAUUGUUUAGCAGGUAAAAUAGUGCAAUGCCUUUAACAUGCCUUAAGAAUGUUUAAGGCGUUCAUGGAUCCUGGCUGCUCAGUACCCAUUUCUACCCCUCAUUCCCCACGUUUUUUUUUUGAGACGGAGUCUCGCUCCUUCUCCCAGGCCGGACCGCAGUGGUGCGAUCUCGGCUCACUGCAAGCUCCACCUCCCAGGUGCACGCCAUUCUCCUGC
rnacentral:lncRNA from 10 species